rnacentral:lncRNA from 1 species
UGAUUCUCUAUUGUCAGCCAGCGUGCUGACCACAGAGUAGAGCAAACAUGAAGUUCACGAUGUGGAGGAAAAUUCCAACAGAACAGAGUCCAGGACUUCCUGUGGCCUUAAAGCUAGAAUUGUUCACUCUGCCCAGAGCAACGGGACUCGAGCCAUAGAACUUGCAGCUGUUACUAGAGUUGUGUGGGCAGCGUGCACAACAUCUACAUGUCUCCCACUGCAAACCUAACACACCUAAGGAGUUUCUUCUCAAGCCGUGCUUCCACUGAACACAAGAGAAGCUGGAUUCAGCCAGUUCCUUCAGUCAAGAAACAUCGAUAGCUUCUUGGUUCUGAUGACAUGACCUCCGAGACUGCAAGCCGAGAGUAGAGCAAGCGUGGAUGUGACAGCUGAGCACUCUUGGUUCUGACACAAGUUUCCUGGGAAACCGAGAGCUUGUGAAACUGUCAGUCAAGGAUCCCUCUGAGUGUGUGCAGCUCUCUCUGCUCCCCUGACAGCUUUCUUAGGACUUGGAACCUAAACUGGAAAAUCUCUUCAAACAGUGUGACUGGUGGCUCUACUAAAGUUUCCCUGCAUUUGAUUAGACUCCCGGGAGGAACAGGGAAGGGGAAGGAAUACCUCUUAGAACACAGUGUACUCUAAGAAAUUGGGUGACCUUGGGGCCUAUGCUGCACUCAGAUUUUAGUCAUGACUGUCUUUAUUCUGGGUGUUCAGUCCUCCAGAUGCCUACCUGAUAUUUCUUUUUUGGUUCCUUAUGAACACCAGUAAGGGUGCCCACACGGGAGUGCUCCUGAUGCCUGGACACACUCUCCCUUUCUGAAUGUUGACUCUACAAUCCUAACUUGCUAAGCAGGUUGAAAACAAGGUCUCAAGUCCUAACACACUAUCCUGACUGGCCACGACCUAUAGGUAAGCCUGCUGUUUAUCCUGGAGUGAGUCUGAGUACCAGCCCUCAAAAUAGGCUAGGAAAACACUCUAUACUUUGUGACCUUGACCCCUUUAUUAUUUGCCCAAGUUUGACAAGUGAAGUCUUAAUAAAACCAACCAACCAACCAACCAACCAACCAACCAGAAGCACCAUAUAAUCUGUAACCAGCAAGCAGAUGGAAGCAGGUCUUCCUGGCAUCAUUUCUGAGUGCUCUGAUUUUCCUUCAGUGUGAACUUCAAAGUUACACAUAGCUUAGUGUAGAAAUCUAUCCACCAUUUUAAA